UCCUCCCUCUUUCUUCGUGCCUAAUACAUGCAAGUAGAACGCUGAAGCUUGGUGCUUGCACCGAGCGGAUGAGUUGCGAACGGGUGAGUAACGCGUAGGUAACCUGCCUGGUAGCGGGGGAUAACUAUUGGAAACGAUAGCUAAUACCGCAUAAGAGUAGAUGUUGCAUGACAUUUGCUUAAAAGGUGCAAUUGCAUCACUACCAGAUGGACCUGCGUUGUAUUAGCUAGUUGGUGAGGUAACGGCUCACCAAGGCAACGAUACAUAGCCGACCUGAGAGGGUGAUCGGCCACACUGGGACUGAGACACGGCCCAGACUCCUACGGGAGGCAGCAGUAGGGAAUCUUCGGCAAUGGACGGAAGUCUGACCGAGCAACGCCGCGUGAGUGAAGAAGGUUUUCGGAUCGUAAAGCUCUGUUGUAAGAGAAGAACGAGUGUGAGAGUGGAAAGUUCACACUGUGACGGUAUCUUACCAGAAAGGGACGGCUAACUACGUG
rnacentral:rRNA from 1 species